GGUUCGGAUCAUGGCUCAGAUUGAACGCUGGCGGAUGCUUACACAUUGCGCAAGUCGAACGGCAGCACGGACUUCGGUCUGGUGGCGAGUGGCGAACGGUGAGAGUAAUGUAUCGAACGCUUUAGUAGCGGGGGGAUAACUACGAAAGCGUAGCCAAUACCGCAUACCCUUCGGGGGAAAGCGGGGGGACCUUCGGGCCUCGCACUAUUAGGAGCGGCCGAUAUCGGAUUAGCUAGUUGGUGGGGUAACGGCUCACUACAAGCGACGAUCCGUAGCUGGUUUGAGAGAGGACGACCAGCCACACUGGGACUGAGACACGGGCCCAGACUCCUACGGAGGCAGCAGUGGGGAAUUUUGGACAGUGGGGGAAACUCGAUCCAGCCAUCCCGCGUGUGCGAUGAAGGCUUUCCGGGUUGUAAAGCACUUUUGGCAGGAAAAGAAACGGCACGGAUAAUACCCCGCAACUGACGGUAACUGCAGAACAAGCACCGGCUAACUACGUCAGCAGCCGCGGUAAUACGUAGGGUGCAAGCGUUAAUCGAAUUACCGGGGCGUAAAGCGUGCGCAGGCGGUUCGGAAAGAAAGAUGUGAAAUCCCAGUAUUUAACUUUGAACCGCAUUUUUAACUACCGAGCCAGAGUGUGUCAGAGGGAGGUGAAUUCCGCGUGUAGGUGAAAUGCGUAGAUAUGCGGAGGAACACCGACGGCGAAGGCAGCCUCCUGGGAUAACACUGACGCUCAUGCACGAAAGCGUGGGGAGCAAACAGGAUUAGAUACUCCUGGUAGUCCACGCCCUAAACGAUGUCAACUAGCUGCUGGGGCCUCGCCUUGGUAGCGCAGCUAACGCUAUGAAGUUGACCGCCUGGGGAGUACGGUCGCAAGAUUAAAACUCAAAGGAAUUGACGGGGACCCGCACAAGCGGUGGAUGAUGUGGAUUAAUUCGAUGCAACGCGAAAACCUUACCCACCUCUGACAUGUCUGAAUCCUGAAGAGAUUUGGGAGUGCUCGCAAGAGAACUGAACACUGGUGCUGCAUGGCUGCUGUCAGCUCGUGUCGAGAUGUUGUUAAGUCCCGCAACGAGCGCAAACUUUGUCAUUAGUUGCUACGAAAGGGCACUCUAAUGAGAUCAUGGUGACAAACUUGGAGGAAGGUGGGGAUGACGUCAAGUCUCAUGGCCCUUAUGGGUAGGGCUUCACACGUCAUACAAUGGUCGGGACAGAGGGUCGCCAACCCGCGGGAGCCAAUCCCAGAAACCCGAUCAGAACCGGAUCGCAGUCUGCAACCUCGACUGCGCGGAAGCUGGAACCGCCAGUAAUCGCGGAUCAGCACGUCGCGGUGAAUACGUUCCCGGGUCUUGCAAUACCACCGCCCGUCACACCAUGGAGUGGGUUUUACCAGAAGUAUUAGCUCAACCGCGAGGGCGAUUACCACGGUGGUAAGGGAUUCAUGACUGGGGUGAAGUCGUAACAAGGUAA
rnacentral:rRNA from 1 species